rnacentral:pre_miRNA from 1 species
AAAUUCUUGUCUUAGAUUUGUCUACAAAUGGAUGUAUCUAAAUACCAAAACAUGACUAGAUACAUUCAUACCUAGACAAAUUUAAGACAAGAAUUUUGAGACGGAGGGAGUACAUG